rnacentral:lncRNA from 1 species
UUUAAAUACACAUGGACAUCUGCUUGUCCAUACACAGAGAAUAUCCUGAAAAGGUACCAGUAAGAAGGUGAGUCCCUCUGAGAAAACUGAUUGGGGAAGAAUUUUAACAGGGCAAAUUAUUUCCAGUUGUUUAAUGUUUGAGUCUUUGGGUUUCAUGGCACAUUCAUUUGAAAACAUAUGAAGUUUUUUUUUUUUUUUUUUUUUUUGAGACAGUGAAGUGGUCUUCACUGUGUAGUCAGGCUGCUCUUGAAUUUAGGAUUAUCCUUCUGUCUCUGCCUCCUGAGUGCUGGGAAUGUGGCUGUACAUCACUAUGUCUAGACAGAAUCUGUAGGCAUGAUGCUGGUGGCUUUUGAGACAGGCAUCUCACUGUGUAGCCUUGGCUAUCCUGGAAGUCACUUUGUAGAACAGGUUGGCCUUGAGCUCAUAGAUAUCUGCCUGACUCUGCCUCAGUGCUGGGAUUACAUCAUGUGCACUAUCACUGGUGAGUGAUUUUUUUUAUUUUAUAGGAAAAUGGUAACUGUUAUGAUGUUCACAGGCACGGGGAUACAAGGAAUACUAAACAUAAAGAAUAGCCCUCUACAGUAACCUAAGUACCCACUGACUGAGAAGUAGCCUCAAGUAAAGUGAUCAGUUGACUAGGAUAUUGGAAAAUGAGCUCACAUAUAUUGCUUAUGGCCACACAGUCAGAUAGCAGCUUUUUUUUUUAAAGAGCAGUGUGUUGAUGCCAUCAGAAUUUAAAUCAUGUGGUUGUAUCCCUCAGACUUUAUUCCAUAGAAACACUAGCACAUGUAGGAUGAGUCUAUGUGUAAGGAUAGGGAGGCGUCAUGGCAUGGUUUGUAAUGGCACAAGGUUUAUAUUGUCCUUCUGGCUCACUUAGUUAUAGAAUACUGCCCGAGGGACUAGGCAGUUGCAUAGAAAGUCAUGUAAAUACACCUCCAAUGGAGCUUGCCAAACAAGAGCAGGGUUGAGCUGAAACUUGCCAUAUAUGCUACCAUUUGUAGUCAGAAGCCACUGACCUAUCUGAUCUAUCAGCUGGGAGGAGUGGUUAUUUUCUCCUUAAUUUUGUCCUUACUGUACAUAUGUGGGUGACAGAGGACAACUCUGGGGGAAUCUGUUCUUCCCUUUUACUACAGAGAUUCCAAGACUCAAACUGGGGCCUGAACUCGGGUGGUCGAGCUGGGUGGCAGUGCCUUUCCUAGCUGAGCUCUUUCCUGCAGAUUCCUGAGUAACUGGGAGGGUCGGCUUCACCGCCACACUCUUUCAACAAGGAGUCACUCUCCACUCCUUCACCCUUUACAGCUCUUGCCACCAUUUACUCGGAUAUGUCUGUCAUCUGAUUGCUGGCCUUGUUUGUUUUUGUGUCUCCUCUCAGUUGUGAGGCAGACUCUUGUUUGUCUGUUUUCUGUUGCAUCCUCUGGGUGGAGACAGUGCUUGACUUAUGGUAAAUAUUCGGUAAAUGUUUUCUGAAUGAAAUAAAUGUGUUUUAAAUAAAUAUCUCAUUCUAUUUUCCUUCAACUUUGCUUUACUGAGAUUUUUGUUUACAAAAGUUUUUUGUUGUUUAAUUUCUAGGUUGUCAAAUGUAUCAAUAUUUUUUUGCUUUGACUUUACAUUGUUCUUAAGAAUAGUUCCUUUUAGGAGUUACAAAGUGUGGAGCUAAGACAAAAGGAUGGACUACCCAGAGAAAACCCCACACGGGGAUCCAUCCCAUAAUCAGCCAUGAAACCCAGACACUAUUGCAUAUGCCAGGAGGAUUUUGCUGGAGGGACCCUGAUAUAGCUGUCUUGUAUGAGACUAUGCCAGUGCCUGGCAAAUACAGAAGUGGAUGCUCACAGUCAUCUAUAAGAUGGAACACAGGGCCCCCAAUGGAGAAGCUAGAGAAAACACCCAAGGAGCUGAAGGGGUCUGCAACCCGAUAGGUGGAACAACAAUAUGAACUAACCAGUAACCCCAGAGCUCGUGUCUCUAGCUGCAUAUGUAGCAGAAGAUGGCCUAGUCGGCCAUCACUGGGAAGAGAGGCUCCUUGGUAUUGCAAACUUUAUAUGCCCCAGUACAUGGGAAUGUCAGGGCCAGGAAGUGGGAGUGGGUAGGUAGGGGAGCAGGGCAGGGGGAGGGUAUAGGGAACUUUCGGGAUAGCAUUUGAAAUGUAAAUAAAGAAAAUACCU